GAUCAUGUGUUACCUAAUCAAGUCCAUCAUUAUUGGUUGAUAUUGACUGUUAUAUUGUUCAGUGGUACUUUAUUUGUCACAAAUCUAACUGCAUAGUGAAAUUCUUUUUGCACAUUUAGACAUGCAGGCGCCGCCAUAUUUUAGCACCAUUUCCAAAGUCUGGUCAGCCCGCCUGCUUGAUGUGCUGGUGGGGGCAUUUCCCGCGAACCAACGUCCCUCUCCCGGCCCGGCCACCUUUGUGUCCCCUGGGCACCAAGGCACUGGAGGCAUUACCCCGGUUCACACACCACCCCCCUCCCUCGGUUCACCCACCUACCGGCCCUUGCUCCUCACAUCCAAUGUCUCCAGCUCCCUCCCGAUAACGACAAGCCUUCGGGCAGGUCCCGCCAACUCAGCCUGGAUGCGUGUGGU